UGUUUGAUAAGUGAAAGGCUGCAUUAGCAUCUGAAGUUCUUAACUUUGCACUUCUAGUGAAUCUUCUCAUGUGAACAUACCAUUCUGCAUGAAACUGAAAACAAUAUGUUUUAUUAGGAGCUCCCUGAGUUGUUUAUGUGUCAACACAUGUUUCCAUGUGGUUAAGAAUUAUUUACUUUUGUUGCUGGUUCCUCAUAUAUUGGGAUACAAGUAAAAACAUCCAACUAGUAUUUCUUCAACUUUUAUCACCCUGUAGAGACCCCUAAUGUAGAACCAGGAGUGAAUCCUUCAUCAUGCCUCCAGACAACCUACUAACAGUGACCUACAACAAUAACAGCAACGACAACGACAACAACAACAUUAAUUUUAUUAUACAAGAAGAAGAGUUAUGGUAACAUUUGCGGAUAACAAAAUGUUGGUAGAGAAAAUUUCAGUUUGAGCGUGCUACAGAUGCUUCUCAUCGAGUUGUUCAAUUUCCUCUUAAUUUGUAAUGGAUCAGUGGGGGUACCAGACCAAUACUUUAGUUUGACGGUGCUUUUGUUGAACAUUGAACAAUCUAAUCCGGUGGAUGUAUGAACUUUUGCAUGAACUAAGUGGAUUCAUUAAGUUAGAACUACGGGAGUACGGGACCAGCACUUUACCAAUUCGGCACGCUCAAGAGUUCAGUUAGGCAGAAUCCCACAAACAAAGUAGGUAGAGGUUUGCAGGGGGGGCAAGGGCGGAAGGAGGAUAAGGUUCACCUGCGCGGCGGCCGGCGGCGAGCACGGCCGCGGACACGGAGAGAGUCGCAGAGUGGAUGGGGUCCGGUGGUGGCCCAACGCAGUGUGGUGGAGGAGCGCCGGAGAAACGCACCCUUCGGCACGGCUGGUGACUGGAACUGG
rnacentral:lncRNA from 1 species